UACGUAGGGGGCGAGCGUUAUCCGGAUUUAUUGGGCGUAAAGCGCGCGCAGGCGGUCAGGUAAGUCGGAUGUGAAAGGCUACGGCUCAACCGUAGAGCGGCAUCCGAAACUGUUUGACUUGAGUGCAGGAGAGGAGAGUGGAAUUCCCGGUGUAGCGGUGGAAUGCGUAGAGAUCGGGAGGAACACCAGUGGCGAAGGCGACUCUCUGGACUGUAACUGACGCUGAGGCGCGAAAGCGUGGGGAGCAAAC
rnacentral:rRNA from 1 species